rnacentral:rRNA from 1 species
GUGGGGAAUUUUGGACAAUGGGCGAAAGCCUGAUCCAGCCAUGCCGCGUGCAGGAUGAAGGCCUUCGGGUUGUAAACUGCUUUUGUACGGAACGAAAAGACUCCUUCUAAUAAAGGGGGUCCAUGACGGUACCGUAAGAAUAAGCACCGGCUAACUACGUGCCAGCAGCCGCGGUAAUACGUAGGGUGCAAGCGUUAAUCGGAAUUACUGGGCGUAAAACGUGCGCAGGCGGUUAUAUAAGACAGAUGUGAAAUCCCCGGGCGCAACCUGGGAACUGCAUUUGUGACUGUAUAGCUAGAGUACGGUAGAGGGGGAUGGAAUUCCGCGUGUAGCAGUGAAAUGCGUAGAUAUGCGGAGGAACACCGAUGGCGAAGGCAAUCCCCUGGACCUGUACUGACGCUCAUGCACGAAAGCGUGGGGAGCAAACAGGAUUAGAUACCCUUGUAGUCC